AACCCGACCACACGAAGCUGGAAUCGCUAGUAAUCGCGGAUCAGAAUGCCGCGGUGAAUACGUUCCCGGGUCUUGUACACACCGCCCGUCACACCAUGGGAGUCAGCAACGCCCGAAGUCAGUGACCCAACCUUUAAGGAGGGAGCUGCCGAAGGCGGGGCAGGUGACUGGGGUNAAGUCGUAACAAGGUAAC
rnacentral:rRNA from 1 species